UGGAAGAUUGUCCGAGUUGGCCGAAGGAGCACGCCUGGAAAGUGUGUAGGCGCCACAAGCGUCUCGGGGGUUCGAAUCCCCCAUCUUCCGG
rnacentral:tRNA from 1 species